rnacentral:rRNA from 1 species
GAGUUUGAUCGUGGCUCAGAUUGAACGCUGGCGGCAGGCCUAACACAUGCAAGUCGAGCGGAUGAGAGGAGCUUGCUCCUUGAUUCAGCGGCGGACGGGUGAGUAAUGCCUAGGAAUCUGCCUGAUAGUGGGGGACAACGUUUCAAAAGGAACGCUAAUACCGCAUACGUCCUACGGGAGAAAGCAGGGGACCUUCGGGCCUUGCGCUAUCAGAUGAGCCUAGGUCGGAUUAGCUAGUAGGUGAGGUAAUGGCUCACCUAGGCGACGAUCCGUAACUGGUCUGAGAGGAUGAUCAGUCACACUGGAACUGAGACACGGUCCAGACUCCUACGGGAGGCAGCAGUGGGGAAUAUUGGACAAUGGGCGAAAGCCUGAUCCAGCCAUGCCGCGUGUGUGAAGAAGGUCUUCGGAUUGUAAAGCACUUUAAGUUGGG